GCCUCCUUAGCUCAAUUGGCAGAGCAACUGAUUUGUAAUCAGUAGGUUGCUGGUUCGAUUCCGGCAGGGGGCA
rnacentral:tRNA from 1 species